CUCCAGACUCCUACGGGAGGCAGCAGUGGGGGAUAUUGCACAAUGGCGGAAACCCUGAUGCAGCGACGCCGCGUGGGCGAAGAAGUCUUUCGGUAUGUAAAGCCCUAUCAGCAGGGAAGAAGAAAUGACGGUACCUGAGUAAGAAGCACCGGCUAAAUACGUGCCAGCAGCCGCGGUAAUACGUAUGGUGCAAGCGUUAUCCGGAUUUACUGGGUGUAAAGGGAGCGCAGGCGGCACGGCAAGCCUGAUGUGAAAGCCCGCGGCCCAACCGCGGGACUGCAUUGGGAACUACCGGGCUGGAGUGCCGGAGAGGUAGGCGGAAUUCCUAGUGUAGCGGUGAAAUGCGUAGAUAUUAGGAGGAACACCAGUGGCGAAGGCGGCCUACUGGACGGUGACUGACGCUGAGGCUCGAAAGCGUGGGGAGCAAACAGGAUUAGAUACCCUAGUA
rnacentral:rRNA from 1 species